rnacentral:rRNA from 1 species
GACGAACGCUGGCGGCGUGCUUAACGCAUGCAAGUCGAGCGGUAAGGCUCCUUCGGGAGUACACGAGCGGCGAACGGGUGAGUAACACGUGAGCAAUCUGCCCUUCACACUGGGAUAACCCCCGGAAACGGGAGCUAAUACCAGAUACGACCACUUCGGGCAUCCGAUGGUGGUGGAAAGUUCCGGCGGUGAAGGAUGAGCUCGCGGCCUAUCAGCUUGUUGGUGAGGUAAUGGCUCACCAAGGCUUCGACGGGUAGCCGGCCUGAGAGGGUGACCGGCCACACUGGGACUGAGACACGGCCCAGACUCCUACGGGAGGCAGCAGUGGGGAAUAUUGGACAAUGGGCGAAAGCCUGAUCCAGCAACGCCGCGUGAGGGAUGACGGCCUUCGGGUUGUAAACCUCUUUCAGCAGGGACGAAGCGAAAGUGACGGUACCUGCAGAAGAAGGACCGGCCAACUACGUGCCAGCAGCCGCAAUAAUAC